rnacentral:rRNA from 1 species
AUGGCCGAUCCUGCGCCAACCCCAAGGAUAAAUUCUUGGCCAAUAGUUCUGGCGGCGCAACAAAUCUUGAACGUUGAUGCAUCCUUUAGAGAGGAGGAUUAUACGGGGUCAUGUGGGGCCCUUCACAAAGGGAAUUUUAUAGCAGCUUGCACCUCACGUAUUGAACACGUUGCAGAUGUAGUUUCUGCUGAAGCUGCAGCACUUCGCGAGGGUUUGAAAUUAGCUCAUACACUGGGAUGCAAUGAUAUCGUGGCAAGGAUGGAUAACUUCACUGUAGUAAACGUUCUACAGCUCAAUGAAGGACAAGCGAUGGUGGCUGCUCCUGUUCUGGAAGAGUGCAGAGAUUUACUAAGAGAUUUAGGGAAAAUUAUUCUUGAGCAUUGUAAUAGAGAGUCAAAUAUGACAGCUCAUGUGCUAGCUGAAUAUGGUCGUGCAAAUGAUCUGCCUAUGUGGAUUGAGGCACCCCAAGUUUCCUCGCCAAAUUCUUGGCGGACGAUGUAUCUGUUAUUUAAAUUAAUAAAGCUAGUUAUGAAGGCCUUCUUGUCAAAAAAAAAGGAAGAAAGGGAGGACGACAUGCGCGAGAGGAGAUGGCCGUCCACGCCGGCGCACCCAACAAGUAUAUAUCUCUCCUGGCGAUAA